UUAUACAUGCAAGUCGAACGGAGGCCCUAGCUUGCUAGGUGUCCUUAGUGNCGCACGGGUGAGUAACACGUGGGAANUACCUCAUAGUACGGAAUAACUGCGGGAAACNGUAGCUAAUACCGUAUAUUCCAGUAANGGGAAAGAUUUAUCGCUAUGAGAUUGGCCCGCGCAAGAUUAGUUUGUUGGUAAGGUAAUGGCUUACCAAGGCUGCGAUCUUUAGCUGGUUUGAGAGGAUGAUCAGCCACACUGGGACUGAGACACGGCCCAGACUCCUACGGGAGGCAGCAGUAGGGAAUAUUGGACAAUGGGGGCAACCCUGAUCCAGCAAUGCAGCGUGAGUGACGAAGGCCUUAGGGUUGUAAAACUCUUUCAUCGGUGAGGAUAAUGACAGUAGCCGAAGAAGAAGGACCGGCUAAUUCCGUGCCAGCAGCCGCGGUAAUACGGAAGGUCCUAGCGUUGUUCGGAAUUACUGGGCGUAAAGCGCAUGUAGGCGGAACAGAAAGUUAGAAGUGAAAUCCCUGGGCUCAACCUAGGAAUUGCUUUUAAAACUUCUGUUCUGGAAUUCAGGAGAGGAAAAUGGAAUAUCCAGUGUAGAGGUGAAAUUCGUAGAUAUUGGAUGGAACACCAGUGGCGAAGGCGAUUUUCUGGACUGAUAUUGACGCUGAGAUGCGAAGGCAUGGGUAGCAAACGGGAUUAGAUACCCCCGGUAGUCCAUGCAGUAAACGAUGGGUGCUAGUCGUCGGACUUAUGUUCGGUGUCGUAGCUNACGCGUUAAGCACCCCGCCUGGGGAGUACGGUCGCAAGAUUAAAACUCAAAUAAAUUGACGGGGACCCGCACAAGCAGUGGAGCAUGUGGUUUAAUUCGACGCAACGCGAGAACCUUACCAGCGUUUGACAUGGGAAGUGCCGGUUACAGAAUGGUAACCUUCAGUUCGGCUGG
rnacentral:rRNA from 1 species